CCCCUAGAUGUUCUGGCCGCACGCGCGCUACACUGAACAGUUCAACAAGUCUUAACCUUGGCCGAUAGGUCUGGGUAAUCUUUGAACGCUGUUCGUGAUUGGGAUAGACCUUUGCAAUUAUGGGUCUUCAACGAGGAAUUCCUAGUAAACGCAAGUCAUCAGCUUGCAUUGAUUACGUCCCUGCCCUUUGUACACACCGCCCGUCGCACCUACCGAUUGAAUGGUCCGGUGAAAUCUCGGGACGGCGGCUUGGUCGCUUGCGUCCGACUGCUGAAACUUGAUUAAACCAUAUCAUUUAGAGGAAGGUGAAGUCGUANCA
rnacentral:rRNA from 1 species